UAAUAACAGGGGUCCUGAAAUAUUUUCAGAGUCUACUUGUCCACGGACAAGUUGGGCCCACAAAUCCACUUGUCCGUACCAAAGAAGAACUUGUCCGUACUUUUUAGUUUAAAAAGGAAAGGAUCAGCAUUAUCAUUACUAAAUAAACAAAUAAUACAAAGAUACACUUCUGUUGACUUCUAUUUUGACUGAUAUAAAGUUUUUAUGUUAUGACUAGAACCAUCCAUUUGAAAAUAUGUUAUAACUAGCAAGCUAAGUGACUAGAACAUCCACUUGAAAAUAUAUGUUAUGACUAGCAAGCUAAGUGACUAGAACAUCCACUUGAAAAUAUGUUAUGACUAGCAAGUUUAGUGAGUAGAGAAUAAUUAAGAACACUUGAACACAUGCCAUUGACAAAAAUAAUCUCAGUAUGCCUAGAAUUUCUACCCUGGUCCCAUAACUCACUGAAUACUGCACCAGUUGGUCUUUCAGGGGUCCUGAAAUAAGCUGUCAGAGUUGUUAAAUGUCAAAACAAUCGACUGGAACAAUUAAGCCACAAAUUUUGGCUACUAAACUUUUUUACAUAGCGCCAACCUAGCUCAUCGAUUUUCUGAAAAUCAAAAAUGAAAGUAGAUAACGGGAAACCCCAGACUGGCACUCAUUUUCAACUUCACGGUAUAAUUUUCCAAUAAUGAUCAUUAAAUGUAGUAAACCAGUCCACGUGUCUAUAAAUGGCUGCAUACAUUUUUGUUUUGAUAAUUUAAGGGUCAUAAAUGAUCACAAACAGAUUAGAUAUUGCCUUUAGGCAUGCGGAAAUCACAGAUGACGCCGAUUAGUUUCGUUUUCAUAAAAUGUUUACCACGGAAAUUUUACUUGUCCCCGGACAAGCCAGCUUCUAAAAACUGCUUGUCCGGACCAAGGAAUCCACGAAUCGGACAACUCGGACAGCUUAUUUCAGGACCCCUGAAUAAUAUGUGUGGUUCCUAUUACAUGGCCAAAAAAAAUAGGGUGCCUAUGAUGAAAACUAGAUACUGGUGUUGCUGUGUACGACGCAAGGACAACCACUGGCCCUUCAGUAUCUCAGAGAUACAAUGUCUUCAUACAUGGUCCAGCACCACACACUCACCCCGGUCACGGCCCGGUGACCCACUAGCAGCUAAAAAGAUUCUGGCACAAGAUUUUGAUGAAUUCCUGAAGGAGCCAUUUCUGGUAUGGGAUGUCCACGUGACCGGAGAACGCCACGUGAUAUUCACCACCCAGACGUAGCUGAACCUGUUGACCAGAGCACGGAAGUGGUAUCUACACAGGACCUUCAAAGCAGUGCAUACACAAUUUUUAGCUCAUCUGAUUUUUUGAAAAAAAAAUGAUGAGUUAUUGUCAUCACUUGAGCGGUUGUCGGCGUCGGCGUCUGCGUCGGCGUUGCCUGGUUAAGUUUUAUGUUUAGGUCAGCUUUUCUCCUAAACUAUCAAAGCUAUUGCUUUGAAACUUGGAAUACUUGUUUACCAUCAUAAGCAGACCCUGUACAUCAAGAAACAUAACUCCAUCUUGCUUUUUGCAAGAUUUAUUGCCCCUUUUGAACUUAGAAAAUCAGUUUUCUUAGUUAAGUUUUAUGUUUAGGUCAGCUUUUAUCCUAAACUAUCAAAGCUAUUGCUUUAAAACUUGCAACACUUGUUCACCAUCAUAAGUUGACCCUGUAUAGCAAGAAACAUAACUCCGUCCUGCUUUUUGCAAGAUUUAUGGCCCCUUUUGGACUUAGAAAAUAUCAGAUUUCUUGGUUAAGUUUUAUGUUUAGGUCAACUUUUUCUCUUAAACUAUCAAAGCUAUUGCUUUGAAACUUGCAACACUUGUUCACCAUCAUAAGCUGACCCUGUACAGCAAGAAACAUAACUCCAUCCUGCUUUUUGCAAUAAUUAUUGCCCCUUUUGGAUUUAGAAAAUCAUUUUCUUGGUUGAGUAUUAUGUUUAAGUCAACUUUUCUCAUAAACUAUCAAAGCUAUUGCUUUAAAACUUGCAACAGUUUUUCACCAUCAUAAGUGGACACUGUACAUCAAGAAACAUAACUCUAUCCUGCUUUUUGCAAGAAUGAUGGCCCUUUUUAGACUUAGAAAAUCAUGGGUAGGACAAUAUUUCUAUUACACAAAAAAAAUCAGAUGAGCGUCAGCACCCGCAAGGCGGUGCUCUUGUUACAGCUGUGUUCAGUCGAUGCCUUCAUCCGAGUGGGCGUCAACAUGAAGCAGGUGCUACUGAUGUACAUGUGCUAAUUUCCAGACGCCGGAAGCAGGAUUAUGUUGCCAUGAGUUGUUACAUAGUUUAAUACUUGAUUGAGGAUUUUUAAUUAUAUAUAUAAUAAUUAAAUACAGUCGAAUACCGUUACCUCGAUAUUCAAGGGACUGUAAAAAAUUGCAGCGACGUAUCCGAAGUUCGACGUAACGAUAUCGACUAUCUGGGACAACUUGUACUUGUGUCGGACGUCUUAAUUGUCACUAUAUCCAAUGCCUUUUUUUAGAGGGUUUGAAAGGGGAAAGAAAUGAUAUAACGAAAAUACGAUUCUAAUUUUAUUGACAAAUAAACAUCUUGAUUAAAUAGUACAUACUUACAUUUAAGUUUUAAAUUUUUCAAAAUAUACGUGUAAACAUUAGCAUUUUAUUCCUUCCAUAAACAAGUCUGAAUGCAGCUGUAAUGUUCCUAGUUGAGUAGUCAUUUUGACUGUGCUUCGAUAACAAAAAUUUGCCUGUGUAAUACGCAUAUUGUUACUCAAUCCUACAUGGCAGAUACAGAAAAAUAUUUCAUCCAAAUUAGUUGUUAUAUUGGAAAACAAGUUGCCCACUUGCACACUGUUUUAUAAGACUAAUUAUUGGGAAUUAAAUGCAAACUUCCUAACAUUUGAAUUGGAUUAAAGAUUAAAUAACAAACACACUAACUUGAUUAUGAUAAAUACAUCGCCGGACAACAAUAGGUUGCUUUUCACACCUUACAGAUAACAUGGAUAUUUUCUGACACGCUGUGAUAUCGACGAAACCAGGUGUAAACACAUUACAGGUAAGUUGACGGGACUGAUAAAUAUCAUCGAGCUAAACAAAAUAUCGAGCUAAUCAUACCGAGGUAAUGAUAAAUAAUUACAUUAGAAUAUAUAGGGAAAAAUCAGGACUGACUAAAAUACAUCGUGCUAACCGGAGUAUCGAGCUAACCGAUAUCGAGGUAACGAUAUUCAACUGUAUUACAAUUUUUCACAGAAAUAUCAUUAAAUUUGAAAGAUUUUUUUUUUUUUGUAUUCAUAUGAAAACAUCUUAAAGGGAAAGGCAAUGUUGUUCUUAUGUUAAUUCCGUCUGCUGGGAUUUCUUAAAUCAUUUAAAGAAGUGAAAAGAAAAAUCAAAAUCGACUUAAAGAGCAUUUAAAUAUUUGAUAAAAGAUGUCGGCUGUUUUGUUUCUAUGGCAACAAAAAAACAAAAUGGCGGAUUUAUCAAAUUUAUAGAUACAUAUUUGAACUGUAUUUACUUAUUACUGUUAAAUAAAUUCUCUACUUCUUCCACUUAUACUGAAGGAAAUUACCAUGUUUUACAUCUAACUCUCAAGAAACAUAUGAAAUUAAUCUAUUUAAAAGGUUAUUUGCUGAAUAAAUAAUUCAACAGUGUGUAAAUGACAUCAUAAACACACUAAGAUGGCAGCCUCUGUGAUCAGCCACUUGUUUAAAUUUCAGACUUACAUACCUUUUUUAGAUAGUGGUCCGAUUUAAAAAUGCAGCGUUAUGAAAGUCUUGAGGAUGACUUUUGUAUAAAAUUAAGUUAUUGACAGGCAUUCCUUGUCCUUUAAAGACAUACAGUUUUUAGCCAAUCAGAGCACGAAGUGCUCAAGGUAAGCUAUUGUGACCGGUCAUUGUCCGUCGUGCGUUGCCUGUCGUGCGUCAUGCGUCCACAUUUGCCUUGUGAACACUCUAGAGGCCACAUUUGUGAUCCAGUCUUUAUGAAACUUGGUCAGAAUGUUAGUCUUGAUGAUCUCUAGGUCAGUUUCGAAACCGGGUUAUCUGGGGUCAAAAACUAGGUCAGAAGGUCAGAUCAAAGGAAAAGCUUGUGAACACUCUAGAUACCACAGUUUUGACCCAAUCUUUAUGAAAUUGGUCAGAAUAUUAGUCUUGAUGAUCUCUAGGUAAAAUUUGAAACUGGGUCAUGUGGGGUCAAAAACUAGGUCAGUAGGUCAGAUCAAAGGAAAAGCUUGUGAACACUCUAGAGACCACAUUUGUGACCCAGUCUUUAUGAAACUUGGUCAGAAUGUUUGUCUUGAUGAUCUCUAGGUCAAGUUCGAAAGUGGGUCAUGUGGGAUCAAAAACUAGGUCAGUAGGUCAGAUCAAAGGAAAAGCCCGUGAACACUCUAGAGACCACAUUUUUGACCCAAUCUUUAUGAAACAUGGUCAGAACAUUAAUGUUGAUGAUCUCUAGGUCAGGUUCGAAACUGGGUCAUGUGAGAUCAAAAACUAGGUCAGUAGGUCAGAUCAAAGGAAAAGCUUGUGAACACUCUAGAGACCACAUUUGUGACCCAAUCUUUAUGAAACUUGUUCAGAACAUUAAUGUUGAUGAUCUCUAGGUCAGGUUCGAAAUUGGGUCAUGUGAGAUCAAAAACUAGAUCAGUAGGUCAGAUCAAAGGAAAAGCCUGUGAACACAUUUGUGACCCAAUCUUUUUGAAACUUGGUCAGAAUGUUUGAUGAUCACUAGGUCAAGUUCAAAACUGGGUCAUGUGGGGUCAGAAACUAGGUCACCUGGUCAGAUCAAAGGAAAAGCGUGUGAACAUUCUAGGGGCCACAGUUGUGACCCAAUAUCCAUGAAACUUAGUCAGAAAGUUCGGCUUGAUGAUUUCUAGGUCAAGCUUGAAUCUUGGUCAUGUAGGGUCAAAAACUAGGUCACCUGGUCAAAUGAAAGGAAAAUCUUGUGAACACUUUAGAGGCCAUAUUUGUGACUCAAUCUUUAUGAAACUGGGUCAGAAUGUUUGUCUUAAUCAUUUCUAGGUUAAGUUUGAAUGUGGGUCAUGUGGGGUCAAAAACUAGGUCACUAGGCCAGAUCUUUUCAACACUCUAGAGACCAUAAUUUAAGUUUGAAACUUAACACAGUUGUAACCAAAUCUUUAUGAAAUUUAGUCAGAAUGUUUGUCUUGAUGAUCUUUAGGUCAAGUUCAACUCUUAUUCAUGUAGGGUCAAAAACUAGGUCAGUAGGCCAGAUCAACUCUGGUGAGCGAUAUAUAGGGCCAUCAUGGCCCUCUUGCUUAAGAUACAGCUUUGAAAUUUGGAUGACAUGUACAGUUUUGCACACCAAUCUUAAAACUGACUUUCAGUGACCAUGAAUGUGACCUACUGACCUACUUUCUAAUGCUUUAGCAUCAGUGUGCUAUUUUAAACAUGUGGCUUGUAUUACUCAGGUGAGCAAUUUAGGAUCAUCAUGACCCUCAUGUCGUAUUCUUCUUGCUUCAAAUAAUAAAAUUGUAAUAAAUCAACAACACCAUUAAAAAUGAUAUAAUAAUCAUCAUUUAAAUAACAUUUUAUAUAAUGCUUUUAAUUCCAUUAAAUUCAGAUCCUGCGGAAGGUUGUUGACAUUCUGGAAGAGGCUCCAGCAGUAGAGUGCUUCACCAUGGACUUUGAGAUAGGUUCUACAAAGACACAUCGGAGAAUUUGGUCUUGCCAGAAUGUACAGAAAGCGCAAGUCCAUGCACAAUCUAAUCUGCAAAUUGUUAGCGCUUCCAUUCCUCCCUGGAGCAGACAUCUAGCGGGCCUUUCGGAAACAACAGGAGCAGGGGAUAGACGGGUUCACAACCAGUCCAGGACCUAUUCACAUAAUUAUGUCAAUGACAAGUGGCUCGCAUAGCUCCAAGUGGCCUGAGGAGGAGCGGUCCUUGUAGCAUCAGACCAUCCGUACUGACAAUGACAC